UUAUUUCACUCAGAUUAAGUCACUAUUAGUAGAUGAAUUCAGACAUGGAUAGAUUUACGCAUGCGUGCGAAUAAACAAGCGAGUAAUAAAACGCUGUAGUUAAGAGGAAAUCAUUAGCGAAUCGUAAUUCAAUGUAUGGAGACGUAGUUCCUUCAGAUAGUGAAAAGAAAUCGUCUUAUAAAAUUGUGAAUACUUUAUUAAGUGUUAAUACUUUACUUUUUAUUUUUUUUUGUUGCAAAUUAAACUCUAUUAAAGAAUUGUUUUAAAUAAAAUUCAAGCGAAUGUGUUUAUGCCAAGAAUUUAUAAGUGCUUAUAAUAUAUCAUAAUGUGCCAUUUAUUAAACCUUCUAAUAAAUAUGAAAUUGGCUCUGGAACCAAAAUUAGCAAUAGUUAAUUAAGUAAUAUACAUUAUGAAUUUAACUGAAAACAUCCAAUAUAUCAAAAAAACUAAACAAAUCAAAUCAUGAAUUAUGAAAAUUACAGUUUAAACAAUGCAAAGUCACAAUAAAAAGUUUAUUUUUACAGUAAAAUAUUAUAUAAUUUAUAAAAUUACACUAGUGAUAUUAUAAUUAAAAAUGAACAAAACCAACUUGAAUUGAUAAGUAAGAAAAGUAUUUUCAGAUUCUAUUGUCUGUAUCAAUUGAACAUGAUCAAGAAAUGCAAAAUGUUAAGCGAUGCAUGAAAACAAAAAAAAAUACGAUUCACUAAUAAAAACAGUUUUGUAUAAACAGUUGUGUCAUCUAAAAAAGGAGCCUAUUCAGAAUAUGGUGGAGCAUGUAAAUAAUUUUAUUUGGCAGAAAGAAAACAAAAUGGUGGAAGAAUUAUGUUCAUUGGUUUUGUUCUUGUAAAAGUGGCAGAAGUAUCAUGUCCUUGGUUUUGUUCAUAGAAUCUAUCAGCAGAAUUGCCCAAUCGUUGAUGCUAAGAAAUUUAUUAUAUCAUUUAAAUACAAAAAGGAAGAAGUCGAUCUAAAAAUGUAUUAUUACACUAAAGACACUCAAAUUGUCGAAUCCAGUUUUAGAAAAUGGAACAUUAACUGGAUAAAGUUGUGCUGUGAUGAGUAACAGUAACAAUGAUAAUAAAGUGGAAUGGUGUACUUAUGGUUUUAUACAUUUUAUCUUUCGAAGUGUGAUAUAAUGCUCUAUUUUUUAUAGUUUCUCUAAGAUAAAGAAUGCAAUGCUUCAUUGGACAAUGAAAUGUCUAUAAAGUGGCGCUGUAUAUGUAAGUCUUUAUCAUCUUCAUUGCUGAUGUUGUCAAGACCACUUUGCAAGAAGCAGCUAAUUAUAGGUAAUUAACACUUUUUUUCCAUAUACUAAUCGUUAGCUGUUACAUUUCGAGUAUGUCCGAUCUCAAGAAUCGAAUUCGUUUUCCAAAGGAUGAUCGGUUUAGCGAUUUGUAUUGUUGAAAGAUUUUUCAAAACCUGCAAUUAAUAUGAUAAUAUUUUGGUUUAUUACCAUCUCGAUUAUUAUAACAAUCUAAAAUAAAAAGGUAAAAUGAUUAGGUAGGAAAUCAAAAUGUAUCUGCUCUUUUUGAUUGGUUGGCUUCGAUUAUUUCUAUUCUCCUUAAACAAAGAUUAUUGGUCUUCUCAUAUUAUUUGCAUUCAUUAGCACAUACACAUCCUAGCCACAUGCACAUCUUUUGUUCAUUUUAUAUGCAUUUUCAAAAUUUAUUUUUCUGUUAGAUCACGCAUAUCGUUUACUUUUUGGGGAAGCUACAAUAAUAAUAAUAAUAAUAAUAAUAAUAAUAAUAAUAAUAAUAAUAAUGUAGCAUCAGAUACUAUAGAAAUAAAUUCAUUUGUUCACAAUUUAAAUUAUAUAUUAUCCAUAUGUAUGUUUCUUUUUUAAUUUUUUAUAUACAUUUUAUUUUUAUGUACAUACAUUUACAUAUAGUGUACAGUACACUGUGUGUGAAUACAAUACUAUGUACAGAAUCACAGUACAUUCUAUUUAUCUGACAUCAUCAGAUGGAAUCAAAAUGUGUCGGAUAAAUAGAUUAGUCAGAUAAUAGAAAUCCAUUAAUUUUCUCUUUUAUUGCUAUUUCUUCAUUUGUAUAAUCGAUGUUACUUUUCAUAUAACUGGAUUUGGCUCUUCAUCCAUUUGAAUAUAAGAUAAAGUAACGAUUUUAUCAUUACAUAUUUUGUAUAUGUAUACAAUUUAUUUAGUUAAACUAGAUUACAAUUAUAUAUUAUAUCUGUAAUAACUUGCAGGUACUUUAUGUCAGAAAAGAUUAUUUAUUGUAUAAUUUAACCAUUUGUACUCCAGCUUAGUGACUUAUAUAGUAUACCAACAACUUCAGGAUUAAUAACUUACUUCAGGAAUAUAUUACAAGUGUGUGUGUGUAUAACACAAAAAAUACGAUUGCUGCAAUGAAACAAAAUAUUUAUUCAUUAUUUAUAUUAUAUAAAACAAGCUCGCUU